rnacentral:sRNA from 1 species
AUGGUAUUUUUGUCAUUUGUUGUUUUUGACUGAAUCAUCUCCAUCCAAAUGAUCCAAUUUAGUUCAGCCAAUUGAGUUUCAAAAUUAAGCCUAAAUUUUCAAACUCCUCCAAAUGAAUCAUUUGGAUGGAUUAUCUGAAUGAACCGUUUUUGGCACCAAACGAACAUCAAAACUCAUACCAGAUGAUCCAUCUGACUGAUGAAACGAACAUGGCCUUAAUUGUUUUUGCAACCUCAACAACAUAAUUCGUA